GACAGCUUCCCUGGUGGGGUCUGGUCCGAGGAGGGUGGGGUGGGUGGUGUCGAAGGCAGAAGCUGCAUGGCCUCACCUCUCGGAUUAUGUUCAAGGGUUCCUGGUGCCCUGCAUGGAGCACAUAAUGACAGAAGAUUGGCUGAAUGAAGUGAAAGUUGCUCUGGAAGACCUGAGACAUGACCCAGAGGGAUCUGUGUGCAUCUAUGCGGCCCAGGCCCAGGACCACAUCCUGGCCAGCGGUAGGCAGAACUCCUGGCCGCCGCUGCCAUGUGGGGACUCACUGGUGAGUGGCCCGGCUGCCUCGCCUUGCUGCAGCUGCAGCUGUGAGAACCUGCCCACUUCCCACAAGCGGCCCUCCUGGAUCAUGCAGGCCCUGAGCUCCUGGAAAAUGGGCUCGAAGCAGUGAUGUUCCGGGCACCAGCACUCCUGGCUCACCAUAAAUGCUCUAUGUGGGCAUCCUGAGCUCUUCUUCACGGGACAGGCCUCGCUCUGAGCCGCCACGCUGUGUGUGAUGGAUCCAAGAGGGGAGUGUGGCCUUCCCUUGUUGACUACAUUGGUGUUUACUGAGGUG